UACGGAGGGAGCUAGCGUUGUUCGGAAUUACUGGGCGUAAAGCGCACGUAGGCGGCUUUGUAAGUUAGAGGUGAAAGCCCGGGGCUCAACCCCGGAACUGCCUUUAAGACUGCAUCGCUUGAAUCCAGGAGAGGUGAGUGGAAUUCCGAGUGUAGAGGUGAAAUUCGUAGAUAUUCGGAAGAACACCUGCGGCGAAGGCGGCCUUCUGGACGAUGACUGACGCUGAGACACGAAAGCGUGGGGAGCAAACAGG
rnacentral:rRNA from 1 species